GGCAUGUUCCCUAAAAAAAACCCUCAACUUUAUACAAAAAUAUAGCAAGUCAGCGAAUGCCAACAAGCUAGUGAACCAACGCCAAGCCUGAAUCACGCCACAAACACUGACUGUGCCCCAGAUUGGAAGGAAACUCCGUAUAGGACAACCAGAGUGCUUCGGCAUACCCUCCUUCUCCCGGACCCGCGCAAGGAAGACUAGCCUGUCCCCCUGCUCGAGGACGGCACACAGAGUCUCCCUGUGUUCCGCAUUGCGUUGACCUUCACUCUGGCUCUGGCAGGAAAUUAUGGAGCCACGGAGUGAAACAAUCCAGGAAGCACCUUCGGGAAUGAGGGGAGCUGGCAACGCCCAGAAAACGCCACUGUUCUAAAGGCGACACGGCCACCAGAGACAGAAGAGGUACAAGCCUUUAAGGCCCGCUGAGACAACAGAUCAGACUUCAAAGAUAACUCCUGGAGUGAAGAGAUUCAAACUUCAAAUGGAUUUUUUUUAAGCGCACAUACCCUGCAAUCGCGUCCCUGAUAGCGUGGUGGCAGGUCUCUGCCACCGUUUCUGAGUUAACACGUGGAGAUAAGUGCUAACCGAGGCAAGAAUGUUAUCCACCAAACUCCACACUGCUCCCAUUGUCUGCUGCCUCCCCGACCUCCCACCCCCGGCAAGAGUGGGAACCAGUUAACCCAGAGAAAGCCCUCCUGACCCGGCCUUGAGAAAACAAAGACACAAGAUUCCGUGUUAUUUAUUAUUAAAUGCUUGCACCGAGCACUGACUGUCAACCCUUGUAUAAAGGACAAAAAAAAAAAAAAAAAAAAGGCAAUGAAACCAGCCGGUGUGUGGCACAUUUUAUGCUGAAAUCGCUACCUGACGGGCAUGCUCCAACAGAACCAGAGUUCACGACCUUAACUAAACUACUUCUAUGGAGAAUCUUUUUUCCUGCUCAUUAAUUUUGCAAUGAAUUGAUUUACUCAGUUGUCCGGAGAAGUAUCCUAUUAUAUUAGAGAAGAAACGAGUUAAGAAAUUCCUUCCAAGUGUUAAACAAGCUCUCUCCAUCUUCCUCGGGAGACCAUGCUCAUCUAGCUCACGCACAUGUUACUGACGGAUGGGACUCACUACACUCUUCAGCCCGGGUAUAACUUACAGACUCUCCGGUGACUGGCUUCGGCUAACUUCAGCAUUCACAAAGGCAGGCUUAGCUUUGUUCACUAACAAUAACUUCCUUAAAAGACUACGUUAUUCUUAGAGCUGUAGUGCUGUCAUUGCUCUGUGCCAGAAAUAGCCUCAAAUACAUGUCAAUCAAUUCCUUAUGUCCAAAAGGAAAGAAAAAAAAAACACAAGAAGCCCACCAACCCUACAGCCAACAGUGCCUUUACUGUACUCUACAACAUUAAUCCAGUUUAAAAAUUAAAAGCUCUAGAAGACA